CGGACGGGUGAGUAAUGCCUAGGAAUCUGCCUGGUAGUGGGGGACAACGUUUCGAAAGGAACGCUAAUACCGCAUACGUCCUACGGGAGAAAGCAGGGGACCUUCGGGCCUUGCGCUAUCAGAUGAGCCUAGGUCGGAUUAGCUAGUUGGUGAGGUAAUGGCUCACCAAGGCGACGAUCCGUAACUGGUCUGAGAGGAUGAUCAGUCACACUGGAACUGAGACACGGUCCAGACUCCUACGGGAGGCAGCAGU
rnacentral:rRNA from 1 species